GCUUACUUCUGAAUGAUGGCCCAGGCUGCGCUGGCUUUUGCGAAUGUCUCCUCCUCUGGUUGUGCCUGGGGCAGCUCAGGAAGAGUAUGGGGACCAUCCAGGACGUUAGCAGCUCCUACUGUGGCAAGCACCGGUCUCCAUGACUGCAGUUCUCUCCCAGAGGCAGAAAGCAGGGAACUAAGCUUCCAUGUGGACUAAAUUUCAUGGCCACCGCCCAGAAGGGUUGGAAGAGCUGAUGACGUCCCAGGACAGGCUGGAACUUGAGCCCAGCAUUUUACAGAGGGAAACCAGGCCCAGAGAAGGAAUGAUUUUCUUAAUGUCACACUUCCAGAAGUCAGGAAAGCAGAGACCAGCUCAGGACUCAUGAUACCUUUGCCCUAACCUCAAGGCCUUAUCCAGUCUUACCCUUCAUCCCACAAACAACUGGCCAUCAACUGGGCGAUUUUCUUGCCUCUGCUCCCCCAUGGGAAAUGCCAGCCGACUGUAAACGCCCAUGCCCUGAGAGCCUGGCAAGCUGCAUGGCACUUACGUCUGCUGUCUCUGGGAAACAGCACUGACUCCAGAGUUUGCGAGGCGAUCAAGUCGAAGAGCUGAAGAACGGCCUCAAGAUCUUUUUGCCCAGAGCGCCCUCUGGUGGCCAACUGGAUGGCAACCAUUCUCCUUCACUGUGUGAGAUGCUAAGUGGUUGGAGCCAGAGUCUUGUUUUCACUGUUCCUCUUGGGACUUGCUCCUCCCCAGUUAAUGCGCUCUGGUGUCCACUCUGUACAACACAUAUUUACUUCUUACUGCAUCCCUGGAAUAACUGACUCCCGGCCAAUAUUGUUUCUCUGUAUGAGUCACACUGAGACUGGAGCUGAGGGAACUCAAGACAACAAGGCACGGUUCACGCCCCUGAGGAAUUGCCCACUUUCCAGGAGAGAGCCGGACCAGUCCCUGGGCGUCUUCCAACAGACCUCCCCUCUCUCCCCGUGCCACGUCUCCUACGGUUCCUCGGGCGCCCACCCCUCGUGCCCUCCACCCUGCAUUGACCAGCUGGAUUCCUGAAACCUGCAUUGGCCUGUGUACAGUUUGGGCACUGUCUGAAU
rnacentral:lncRNA from 1 species